ACGUACGCUGGCGGCACGCCUAACACAUGCAAGUCGAACGAAGUAGCAAUACUUAGUGGCAGACGGGUGAGUAACAUGUAGGUAUCUGCCCUUUGGCCUGGAAUAACACGAGGAAACUUGUGCUAAUACCGGAUAAGUCUUUACGGAGAAAGCUUUAUGCACCAUUGGAUGAGCCUGCACUUGAUUAGUUUGUUGGUGGGGUAAUGGCCUACCAAGACUGUGAUCAAUAGCUGAUUUGAGAGGAUGAUCAGCCACAUUGGGACUGAGACACGGCCCAAACUCCUACGGGAGGCAGCAGUGGGGAAUCUUGCACAAUGGAGGAAACUCUGAUGCAGCGAUGCCGCGUGAGUGAAGAAGGCCUUUGGGUUGUAAAGCUCUUUCGUCGGGGAAGAAAAUGACUGUACCCGAAUAAGAAGGUCCGGCUAACUUCGUGCCAGCAGCCGCGGUAAUACGAAGGGACCUAGCGUAGUUCGGAAUUACUGGGCUUAAAGAGUUCGUAGGUGGUUGAAAAAGUUAGUGGUGAAAUCCCAGAGCUUAACUCUGGAACUGCCAUUAAAACUUUUCAGCUAGAGUAUGAUAGAGGAAAGCAGAAUUUCUAGUGUAGAGGUGAAAUUCGUAGAUAUUAGAAAGAAUACCAAUUGCGAAGGCAGCUUUCUGGAUCAUUACUGACACUGAGGAACGAAAGCAUGGGUAGCGAAGAGGAUUAGAUACCCUCGUAGUCCAUGCCGUAAACGAUGUGUGUUAGACGUUGGAAAUUUAUUUUCAGUGUCGCAGCGAAAGCGAUAAACACACCGCCUGGGGAGUACGACCGCAAGGUUAAAACUCAAAUGAAUUGACGGGGACCCGCACAAGUAGUGGAGCAUGUGGUUUAAUUCGAAGAUACGCGCAGAACCUUACCAACACUUGACAUGUUCGUCGCGACUCUAAGAGAUUAGAGUUUUCGGUUCGGCCGGACGAAACACAGGUGCUGCAUGGCUGUCGUCAGCUCGUGUCGUGAGAUGUUGGGUUAAGUCCCGCAACGAGCGCAACCCUCACUUUUAGUUGCCAUCAUUAAGUUGGGCACUCUGAAAGAACUGCCAGUGAUAAGCUGGAGGAAGGUGGGGAUGACGUCAAGUCCUCAUGGCCCUUACGUGUUGGGCUACACACGUGCUACAAUGGUAUCUACAACAGGAAGCAAGACUGCGAAGUUAAGCAAAUCCCUAAAAGAUACCUCAGUUCGGAUUGCACUCUGCAACUCGAGUGCAUGAAGCUGGAAUUACUAGUAAUCGUGGAUCAGCGUGCCACGGUGAAUGCGUUCCCGGGUCUUGUACACACCGC
rnacentral:rRNA from 1 species